rnacentral:rRNA from 1 species
GUGCCAGCAGCCGCGGUAAUACGAAGGACCCGAGCGUUAUCCGGAUUUAUUGGGUUUAAAGGGUGCGUAGGCGGAUUAAUAAGUCAGUGGUGAAAGCCCAUCGCUUAACGAUGGAAUUGCCAUUGAUACUGUUAAUCUUGAGUAUGGUUGAGGUGGGCGGAAUGUGUCAUGUAGCGGUGAAAUGCUUAGAUAUGACACAGAACACCAAUUGCGAAGGCAGCUCGCUAAACCAUAACUGACGCUGAGGCACGAAAGCGUGGGUAGCAAACAGGAUUAGAUACCCUCGUAGUCC